ACUCCUACGGGAGGCAGCAGUAGGGAAUCUUCCACAAUGGGCGCAAGCCUGAUGGAGCAACACCGCGUGAGUGAAGAAGGGUUUCGGCUCGUAAAGCUCUGUUGUUAAAGAAGAACACGUAUGAGAGUAACUGUUCAUACGUUGACGGUAUUUAACCAGAAAGUCACGGCUAACUACGUGCCAGCAGCCGCGGUAAUACGUAGGUGGCAAGCGUUAUCCGGAUUUAUUGGGGCGUAAAGAGAGUGCAGGCGGUUUUCUAAGUCUGAUGUGAAAGCCUUCGGCUUAACCGGAGAAGUGCAUCGGAAACUGGAUAACUUGAGUGCAGAAGAGGGUAGUGGAACUCCAUGUGUAGCGGUGGAAUGCGUAGAUAUAUGGAAGAACACCAGUGGCGAAGGCGGCUACCUGGUCUGCAACUGACGCUGAGACUCGAAAGCAUGGGUAGCGAACAGGAUUAGAUACCCUGGUAGGAUAG
rnacentral:rRNA from 1 species